rnacentral:ncRNA from 2 species
CUCUGCAGACACGGGAGACGUUGGACCCCGCGCCAAGGCCGAAGGAGCAACCGCCCCGGUAAACUCUCAGGCAAAAGGACCGGUCUGCGGAC